CUUUUCUGCACCCCUGCAGUGUAUCUGGGGUGGUAAAAUAAAGCCGGGCAUACUCGGCCAGGACCAUUUUUCUUGUUCCAGCUGUUCCCCCCGAGGUUUUUCCAGGAAAUCAUCGGCAUCCCACAGCAGCCAGGGUAAAUCUGCUGCAUGGGGUAAAUCUUCCCCCCGAGGUAAAUCCCAUCUGCCCCACGAGGUACAUCAUCCCAUCAAUCCCCCGAGAUGCAGUGGUUUUUGGAUGGACACCCUCACCUGCCUCCCACCAUGCCUGGACAGCCCAUGUCACUGCAUCCCACCUCACCCAAGGGUGCCUGGGGAUACCCUGCCCCGGGCAGCCCUGGAACAUCAAGCUCGGAGAAGGGAGGAAAGUUCCCAGGGGCUGGUGAUCCAGUUGGACCAGGUACCUUUCGGAAGCUCCACAUGCUGUUUUUCCCUGUGGAAAUGCCCAUGGACAAAAGGCAUUUGGCAGCUUCCAGCUGCACCCCAAGCUCUUGUUGGCUGUCAUUGGGAUAGAGGCUGAAGCCAGUGUGUGUGGGCAAAGGUUUCUAUCCCUCUGAGACCCCCGUAUCUUCUCCCUCCUCCUCUUCUCGUGAUGCAGCCCCUCACCCGGCUCCCCUGGAUGCUGGAGCACCCUGGGGACAUCCCAAUGCCAUGGGGCAGGACCUACCUCAUGCCUGGCUGAGCCCA